rnacentral:rRNA from 1 species
CAGUCGCCGCGGUAAAACGUAGGGUGCAAGCGUUAAUCGGAAUUACUGGGCGUAAAGCGUGCGCAGGCGGUUUGUUAAGACAGAUGUGAAAUCCCCGGGCUCAACCUGGGAACUGCAUUUGUGACUGGCAAGCUAGAGUGUGGCAGAGGGGGGUGGAAUUCCACGUGUAGCAGCGAAAUGCGUAGAGAUGUGGAGGAACACCGAUGGCGAAGGCAGCCCCCUGGGCCAAUACUGACGCUCAUGCACGAAAGCGUGGGGAGCAAACAGGAUUAGAUACCCGGUAGUCCCUGUCUCUUAUACC